rnacentral:rRNA from 1 species
AUUGAACGCUGGCGGCAUGCCUUACACAUGCAAGUCGAACGGCAGCACGGGAGCAAUCCUGGUGGCGAGUGGCGAACGGGUGAGUAAUAUAUCGGAACGUGCCCAGUCGUGGGGGAUAACGCAGCGAAAGCUGUGCUAAUACCGCAUACGAUCUAAGGAUGAAAGCGGGGGAUCGCAAGACCUCGCGCGAUUGGAGCGGCCGAUAUCAGAUUAGCUAGUUGGUGGGGUAAAGGCCCACCAAGGCGACGAGCUGUAGCUGGUCUGAGAGGACGACCAGCCACACUGGAACUGAGACACGGUCCAGACUCCUACGGGAGGCAGCAGUGGGGAAUUUUGGACAAUGGGCGCAAGCCUGAUCCAGCAAUGCCGCGUGCAGGAUGAAGGCCUUCGGGUUGUAAACUGCUUUUGUACGGAACGAAACGGCCCUUUCUAAUACAGGGGGCUAAUGACGGUACCGUAAGAAUAAGCACCGGCUAACUACGUGCCAGCCGCCGCCGUAAGAC